CAUGACAUUGGGAGGCAGGGCUCCGUCUGCAUCCCUUGCAGCAGGUGAGUAAGGGGAGCAGGCGUCGUCUGGGCAUCACAGAGCUUCAGAGCAUUGAGGACGCUCCUUGGGUCACCUCCUCAUUCCCAGAUCCACUGCGUCAUCCUACUCCAGCUCUUUCUCUCCCGGACACUGGCGGCGGCCCCUGAGCUGGUCUCCCCAGCUCCUUAGUUGACCCGUCCAAGAUGUCCUCAUGAAACAUCCAGAGUGCCCUUUCUCAGAUGCAAGCCAGUCUGCUUCACUUGCUGCUAAAAACCUCCCAGGGGCGUCAUCACCUGUGUGGUGAAGUCUGAGCUCCUUGAAUUCCCAGGCCUCCCUGGCCCAGCCCCGGCCUGCUCUCCUUGCCUCCUCCUGACAGUCUCCUUUCCAGCCCUGCAUCCAGCACGGCCAGGACUCACUCACAGGUGGUAUAGUUAAGGUCAAAGAACUGGACUGGCUGAAGGACGACCUCUGCACAGAUCCCGAGGCCCCCUUCAGUUG
rnacentral:sRNA from 1 species